rnacentral:rRNA from 1 species
UACGGAGGGUGCAAGCGUUGCUCGGAAUUAUUGGGCGUAAAGGGUAGGUAGGUGGUCUUAUUUGUCUGGGGUGAAAGCCUUGAGCUUAACUUCGAGAAGUGCCCCAGAAACGGUGAGACUGGAGUCCUGGAGAGGGUCGUGGAAUUCCCGGUGUAGCGGUGAAAUGCGUAGAGAUCGGGAGGAACACCAGAGGCGAAAGCGGCGACCUGGACAGGCACUGACACUCAACUACGAAAGCGUGGGGAGCAAACAGG